rnacentral:rRNA from 1 species
UGGGGGAUAUCGCACAAUGGGCGAAAGCCUGAUGCAGCGACGCCGCGUGGGGGAUGAAGUCUUUCGGGUUGUAAACCUCUUUCGCUAUCGAACAAGGCCCGCUUAGGGUGGUGCGAGGGUAGGCGGAGCAGAAGCGCCGGCUAACUACGUGCCAGCAGCCGCGGUAAUACGUAGGGCGCGAGCGUUGUCCGGAAUUAUUAGGCGUAAUGGGCUCGGAGGCGGUUAGUGGCUCCUUCUGUGAAAACGCGGGGCGUAACUUCGCGCGUACAGUGGGUACAGGCGGGUGUGCGUGUGGUAGGGGUGACUGGGAUUCCAGGUGUGGCGGUGGAAUGCGCGUAUAUCUGGAGGGAAACCGAUAGCGAAGACAGGUCACUGGGCCAUUACUGACGCUGAGGAGCGAAAGCAUGUGUGGCGAACAGG